GCUCAGUAACACGUAGUCAACAUGCCCAGGGGACGUGGAUAACCUCGGGAAACUGAGGAUAAACCGCGAUAGGUCAUAGUAUCUGGAAUGAUUUAUGGCUUAAAUCUAUAUGGCCCCUGGAUUGGACUGCGGCCGAUCAGGCUGUUGGUGAGGUAAUGGCCCACCAAACCUAAAACCGGUACGGGCUCUGAGAGGAGAAGCCCGGAGAUGGGCACUGAGACAAGGGCCCAGGCCCUAUGGGGCGCAGCAGGCGCGAAAACUCUGCAAUAAGCGAAAGCUUGACAGGGUUAUUCUGAGUGAUUUCCGCUAAGGAAAUCUUUUGGCACCUCUAAAAAUGGUGCAGAAUAAGGGGUGGGCAAGCCUGGUGUCAGCCGCCGCGGUAAUACCAGCACCCCGAGUGGUCGGGACGAUUAUUGGGCCUAAAGCAUCCGUAGCCGGUUCUACAAGUCUUCCGUUAAAUCCACCUGCUUAACAGAUGGGCUGCGGAGGAUACUAUAGAGCUAGGAGGCGGGAGAGGCAAGCGGUACUUAGUGGGUAGGGGUAAAAUCCGUUGAUCCAUUGAAGACCACCAGUGGCGAAGGCGGCUUGCCAGAACGCACUCGACGGUGAGGGAUGAAAGCUGGGGGAGCAAACCGGAUUAGAUACCCGGGUAGUCCCAGCUGUAAACGAUGCAGACUCGGUGAUGAAUAGGCUUCGUGCCUAUUCAGUGCCGCAGGGAAGCCGUUAAGUCUGCCGCCUGGGGAGUACGGUCGCAAGACUGAAACUUAAGGAAUUGGCGGGGGAGCACCA
rnacentral:rRNA from 1 species